rnacentral:rRNA from 1 species
ACCCUAUUAUAGAAAUUGUAAAUGUAAAAACUUAGGUAGUAUUUGUUAUGAUCUUGAAACCUAAAAAAUUUGGCGGUAUUUUAAUCUAUUCAGAGGAACCUGUUCUGUAAUCGAUAAUCCACGAUGGACCUUACUUAAGUUUGUUUAAUCAGUUUAUAUACCGUUGUUAUAAAAAUUUUUAAAAAAAAAUAAUUUUUAUUUUUUUUCAUAAAAAAAAUAUAUCAAAUCAAGGUGUAGCUUAUACUUAAGAAGAAAUGGGUUACAAUAAAUUUAUUUAUGGCUUUAAUUAUGAAAUUUUUUAUUAAAAUUGGAUUUGAAAGUAAAAUUAUAAAGAUAAGUAAUUUGACUAUAGCUCUAAAAUAUGUACAUAUCGCCCGUCACUCUUAUUAUUAAGAUAAGAUAAGUCGUAACAAA